UGAGGAUGGGAGGGGCAGAGCCCAGGGGCAGAGUCAUUGGGUAGGGGAGCCAUCCUCCAACCCAGACUCUAGCCCGUGUGGCUGAGACUCCAUUCUAUGUUGUGUAGUGUGUGUGUGUGGUGUGUGUGUUUACAGCAGUAUGCAUGUGUGUGGUGUGUGCUGUGUGUGGUAUGUUUGCAUGUAUGAUGCAUAUGCCGUGUGUGGUAUGUGUGGUGUGUUUGCAUGUCUGAUGCAUGUGCCAUGUGUGCUGUGUGGGGUGUGUUUGCAUGUAUGAUGCAUGUGCUGUGUGUGGCAUAUGAUGUGUGUGGUGUGUUGAAGGUAUGAGGUAUGUGCUGGGUGUGUGGCAUAUGCCAUGAGUGGUGUGUGUGCUGUGUGUGUUGUGUUGCGUGUAUGAUACAUGUGCUUUGCAUGGUGUAUGUGAUGUGUGUGGUGUGUUGCUUGUAUGGUGUGUGUGCUGUGUGUGUCAUGCGAUGUGUGUGGUGUUUUGCAUGUCUGAUGCAUGUGCCAUGUGUGGUGUCCAUGGUGUGUGUGGUGUGUUUGCAUGUAUGCUGCACCUGU
rnacentral:lncRNA from 1 species